rnacentral:rRNA from 1 species
GCAAAGCCAGGCAUAUUACAUUGAAAAAACUAGGAGUUUCUACAGACUGUCAUACGCCUGAACACAUUGCAUCGCACUAAUAAAGUAGCCGCCAGGCUGAUACUUGCUGGACUAUAGGAUAGCUGUAAUGAUCAAUAGGGACGGUAGUGGGCAUAGAAUCAGUUGCACGAAGUAAAAUUCUCAGAUUCCUGCAGCCUAGUAUUGCGAAGCAUUUCAGAGGGCGUUUUCAUUAUUCAAGAGCGCAGGUUAGGUGAUCCCGUGCGAUUAGAUACGGUUGUACUCUUUACACUCAACUAGGCGGCCUAGGGAUCGGGUCCUCGUUGAUUUUUCGUCUGGCUCGGCACCCUUCCCAGAAAUCCAAAGUCUUUGGGUUCUGGGGGGAGUAUGGUCGCAAGGAUGAAACUUAAAUGAACUGACGCAAGGUCACCACCAGGCGUGGAGCAUGCGGCUUAAUUUGACUCAACACGGUGAUACUCACCCGGUCCAGACAUAGUAAGGAUUGACUGAUUGAUAGCUCUUUCUUGAUUCUAUGGGUGGUGGUGCAUGGCCGUUAUUAGAUGGUGGAGUGAUUUGUCUGAAUAAUUCCGAUAACGAACGAGACCUUAACCUUCUAAAUAGUCCGGCCGGCUUCGGCUGGUCGAAAAUUCUUAGAGGGACUAACAGCGUUUAGCUGUUGGAAGUUUGAGGCAAUAACAGGUCUGUGAUGCCCUUAGAUGUUUUGGGCCGCACGCGCCCUACAGUGACUGAGCCAGCGAGGAGAUACCCGAGGCUGAAAGGUACGGGUAAUCUCGUGAAACUCAGUCGACCUGGGGAUACAACAUUGCAAUUCAGGCUCGAGCUCGAGGAAUGCCUAGUCAGCAUGAGUCAUCAGCUCACCUGGAAUACGCGCGGGCCCUGCCACUCGCCGAAAUCAAGGGAGAAGCACGACCAUAAAUCAAUCCGUUAUCAAC